UACAAGGAAAUGCCGUGAACUAUUGAUUUACAAGGAAAUGCCGUGAACUAUUAAUUUACAAGGAAAUGCCAUGAACUAUUGAUUUACAAGGAAAUACCAUUAACUAUUCAUUUACAAGGAAAUGCCAUGAACUAUUCAUUACAAGGAAAUACCAUGAACUAUUCAUUUACAAGGAAAUACCAUGAACUAUUCAUUUACAAGAAAAUGCCAUGAACUAUUCAUUUACAAGGAAAUGCCAUGAACUAUUCAUUUACAAGGAAAUACCAUGAACUAUUCAUUUACAAGGAAAUGCCAUGAACUAUUCAUUUACAAGGAAAUGCCAUGAACUAUUCAUUUACAAGGAAAUGCCGUGAACUAUUCAUUUACAAGGAAAUGCCAUGAACUAUUGAUUUACAAGGAAAUGCCAUGAACUAUUAAUUUACAAGGAAAUGCCAUAAAGCAUUGAUUUACAAGGAAAUGCCAUGAACUAUUGAUUUACGUGGGAAACUUUGCACUGAUAGAUCACAUUGACAGAAUAUUGGAGAAGCGGAAUCAAUCCUCGCCACACUGGUCAGAAUACAGUAUGUAGGUCUUGGAAGCAGUCCACUUCACCCUUGAGUGUGACGAUUAUGAAUGUGUUUGUGUUGGGCGGUUAAUUCACUAAUACAGCGUAUGUUCAGUAAAAAUAUUACCUGAGUAUGUUCUCAAAUAUAAAGCAAUGCUCAGAGAUUA